UACGAAGGGGGCUAGCGUUGCUCGGAAUUACUGGGCGUAAAGGGAGCGUAGGCGGACAUUUAAGUCAGGGGUGAAAUCCCGGGGCUCAACCUCGGAAUUGCCUUUGAUACUGGGUGUCUUGAGUAUGAGAGAGGUAUGUGGAACUCCGAGUGUAGAGGUGAAAUUCGUAGAUAUUCGGAAGAACACCAGUGGCGAAGGCGACAUACUGGCCCAUUACUGACGCUGAGGCUCGAAAGCGUGGGGAGCGAACAGG
rnacentral:rRNA from 1 species